rnacentral:rRNA from 1 species
UACGUAGGUCCCGAGCGUUGUCCGGAUUUAUUCGGUUUAAAGGGUGCGUAGGCGGACUGUCAAGUCAGCGGUAAAAUUGAGAGGCUCAACCUCUUCCCGCCGUUGAAACUGGUGGUCUUGAGUGGAUGAGAAGUACGCGGAAUGCGUGGUGUAGCGGUGAAAUGCAUAGAUAUCACGCAGAACUCCGAUUGCGAAGGCAGCGUACCGGCAUCCAACUGACGCUGAGGCACGAAAGCGUGGGGAUCAAACAGG